rnacentral:rRNA from 1 species
UACGUAGGUGGCAAGCGUUGUCCGGAAUUAUUGGGCGUAAAGCGCGCGCAGGCGGAUCAGCCAGUCUGUCUUAAAAGUUCGGGGCUUAACCCCGUGAGGGGAUGGAAACUACUGAUCUAGAGUAUCGGAGAGGAAAGUGGAAUUCCUAGUGUAGCGGUGAAAUGCGUAGAUAUUAGGAAGAACACCAGUGGCGAAGGCGACUUUCUGGACGAAAACUGACGCUGAGGCGCGAAAGCCAGGGGAGCGAACGGG